rnacentral:tRNA from 1 species
GGAGGGGUGUCGGAGCCCGGUUGAACGAGCCGCACUCGAAAUGCGGUAGGCGGGUAACCGCCUCGUGGGUUCGAAUCCCACCCCCUCCGCCA